UAAGAAUAUAAUCAUAGUAAAUAAUAAGCCACACGUUCGAUCGACUGUACUAGCGAACAAAUUCCGAGGAUGUUUUUUAACAAUCGACUUCUUCUCCCAGUUCACGGAUAAAAACCGACCGCCGUGCGUCGGAAGGAAACGUCGUCAUCCGCGUGUUUCGAACAAUUCGAACGCCACCGGUACCUGCAAACAGAUAAAGAACAGCAGCCGGGAUACAAAGCGAUCGCGAUCGGGCUCUGAAAGCUUGUCAGCUACGACAAAGAGGAUUAGCAGUUUUACAUAAUGACGGAUGAGAGUGGGAGGGUCGGAUGAGUACGCCUGAUCUGUCGGUGGUUGUAGUUUUACGGUAGAAAGGAUGGCAGGAAUUUUUUUCGAAAUUCGAAGGAAAUCAGAGGCACGCUGCUCUUUCGUCGAUCUUUUUAGAAACCGUUCGGGAUGGCCUGGAAUCCGUUCAAAACAAGAUCUUGAACGUGAACUUGUCAUAGUAAUUUCUCUCUACACUAAAAAUAGUAAUCUCUCCUUUGCGAUCGUUUUAUCUAUUUAUUUAUUCCUUUAUUUUAUUUAUUUAUUCAUUCCUUUAUUUUAUUUUAUUUUAUUUAUUCAUUCCUUUAUUUUAUUUAUUUAUCUAUUCCUUUAUUUUAUUUAUUUAUUUAUUUAUUUCGUUGGAAAUGAUGGACUACCACGUGCAGACAAUAUAUAUAUACAUAUCCAUGACAACAAAAACAACAAAAUGACAAAGAAUAGAAAGAGUUGCAACCGUUUCUUUACUUUUCCGCUUCGCGCCAUCUUGAAAGCUCGUGGAUUCUACGUGUAAUAUUUCCUCGCCAACGCGUUAUCCUCCUCAGAAUCUAAUAAAUCUAAUUGUAGAUCAGCUUUCCGCGCGUAUCUCCCGCGAGCAAUCGUAAAAUAACACAACCGGUCAAGAAAUGAUAAAUAUUUCAUCGAUUCUUUCGCGUUUCUUCCGACACGGUUUUUACAAGAACUUCGUACGAUAAUUCGAAUCCCAUUGGCGGUCCUCCGCCAAUCGGCAGGCCGGCGUCGAUUUGCCUGAAACGCGCUAAAAAUUAUUACACCGAGAUCAGUCGCAACAUCGCAUCGUGAUCCAAAGAGAAGCAAAAACGCGCGCGUUUGUCAAAUGAAACGAAAAUGAAACGAAGAGAGAUUCGUCGCGUCGAUAAAAACGAAUUCGUUGUUAACAAGCCCCCCAAAAAACGCUAUCUCUCCUGGGGCUCGCACAUUUUGACAAAGAUCUCUUCUUUUUCCAUUUCCGCGAAACGUCCAUGUUUGCGGCGCGUUGCGACGCGCGACGGUUGCAAAGCCGCGUCUUAUCCGCGAGAAGAAGUCCGCAAUGUCGACAUCGCUCGCAGGGGGCAGUUACAGUUACAGCCGCGGAUAGAAAUACAGCGCAUUUCGCCAACUGUUACGUGAAAUGAAUGUCGCACGAGCUUCCCAAGAGCCCGCCGCCGCCGUCGCCGCCGCGCCGUUCGACAGAGAUAUCGAAGGUAAUAAAGAGAGGCACAUGAAGCAGACAUGGCGUCGACAUUCUAUGGGUUGGCCCGAAGUAGUCGGUUGCCGUUGCCGGUGGAGGAAGAGGAGGCCGAACGGGGAGUUGCUACCUUUAUGAUAUAAUGGCAUGGAAGCUUGCCAUGAAGUUAUAUACGUUCACCAAGACGUUCUCGCCUAACCCUUGUGUAUACGGAUAAAUACGUCCCCGCGUGCAAAACCAGCACCGGCGUCGAAGUAUGCGGGAGGCUUGUGGUCUAUCUCGCCGACGGUACCUACAUGCUCGCGUGCACGUACAAUACGUACGUACGUACGUGCGGUGCGUUCCUCUGUAUAGCUACACGUACUCGCAGACCACCCAAGGGUACAUACACACGAACGGGGACCACUCUAGGAAAAGUGCAUCGGUACGAGGCAGGCUAUUUACUUUGUGGUGGCCCAGGCGCAGGCAGCUGUCACCUUACACCCAUGGAGGAGGCAUGGGCUGCGGCGGCCAUUCUCAACUUAUCUCUAGGAUCUUUGUAAACAUGUCGUGAAAUCCGAGUAUUCAAGCAGUGGCGUAGAUCGAGAGGUGGAAGGACCCGUCAGAGCCUCCUCGAAGUAGGAAUUAAAAUCUUCAACGAAUACGCCCGAGACUGCAACAUUGCAUGCACAUGGUUUCCUCGGCAAUGAGUAUCGUAGCGGCAACUGUCGCUAAAUGGAGCAUAUUUUUCUUCCCCGCUAAUAAAACGACUUCAGGAGGUGCUACCAUCCCCCCUGUUUCUUAGUUUUGACCUGCUUAAAAUGAUCGUUCUUUUAUUAUUAUUCUCUAUUGUAAAAACACCCCUUAUAUCGUCGAUUCAACAAUUCUAAUAUACAAUGAAAAUGAUAGAAUAGAAAUGUAAAACAAAAAUCUUAACGUAUAUUACAUCUUCUUAUCGCUGUUUUA